GCUUCCAGUGCGUCAGCCCAGCCUCGAGAGUAUCCGGCACCAGUGUGCAGUCCAGAGUAUCCGGCACCAGUGUGCAGUCCAGAGUAUCCGGCACCAGUGUGCAGUCCAGAGUAUCCGGCACCAGUGUGCAGUCCAGAGUAUCCGGCACCAGUGUCUAGUCCGGAACCGAGGGAGUCUGCCUGUGACCCGGAACCGAGGGGGUCUGCCUGUGACUCAGAACCGGAUGGGCGGACCAGAAACCCAGUGUCAUCACUCGGGUCUGUAACUGCCAUUUUCCGCUGGGAAAGAGAAAUGAACCUGUACUUACCAGAAAAGGUAGCUCAUCCACCAUGGCAGAAGAGGCAGACCCAGACUGUUGAUUCGAAAACAAUAACAAAACAUUUGGCAUGAGGAUUGGGUGUUGAGGGACCACUUGUCACAUUGUCCAAGUCCAACAGGAGUGCAUCCCUAAGGCCAUCCAGCGCAUGGACAUCCUGUGUCAGUGUGAUCCGACUGCGAGCGUCCAGUUGUGGAGACUACAGCACAUCGAGCCUGCGGACGGACAGAACGUCAGGCUCACCUCACAAGAAGCAGUGCAUGAUCAACGCCACCCUCAGCGAGGAGAUCUGCUGGAAGUGAUGUACUCUCUCGCUCUCUCUCUCUUAUCGGGGUAAGACAUAACUUAAACAUCACAGGUAUAAAUUCCCACUGUGCCCAUGAUAAAAUGCAAUGUAAACUGUGUUGUACUACUGAAUGAAACUGUGAGGAGAUGCAUUCAGACCAGCCUGUGAUUGAACUAACGUUGGAUAUAUUACUUUAGUUGGCUGCUUUGAGCAAGACUUGAAUGUAAUAUAACAUUUUCUAGGAGCCUAUUGUUUGUGUAUGAUCUUUAUUCAGUGUUUACUUGUUUUUAAACAAUGUCAGGUAGAGGCAGGGAUGACUAGUGUCUUCAGUA
rnacentral:lncRNA from 1 species